GUAAUACCUACCUAAAUAAAUAUAAACUGUAUGCAUUGUGAAAUAUCAAUUAUUACCGGUAUGAAGUUAGGUGCGACUGUUUUAUUUAUUGUGUUGAUGCUUUUUUCUCUUGCAAAAUGCCAAAAUCCCGGAUUAAAAGGACACGCGAAUUAUGCCCUUGGGAAAACACCCUCUUGUGUGCCUUCAGGUUGUAGCAAACAAUGUAAAAUCACUAGUGGAUCUUCUGGACUUUGUAUUAAUGGAAAUUGUAAAUGUUUUAAUUAAUUGGCAGUAGAAAUGUAUCAAAUUGUUUUUGGUUUCAUUCCCCGGAUUUAACAUUUAUUUUAUCAUUAAAAAUUAGGCAACCUAGUUUGUUAAUUAUUAAAUAAAUAUUAUUAAAAAUUAAAGGAGUAAAUGGGUUUCUACGUUUUUUCUUCCCACUGUUUGUCAAUGAACAUUUGCAAAAGAUUUUCUAUAAUAAAAAAUAAGAGUCAACGACAUUUAUUUCCUGAUAAAACACACAAGUGGAUUUAAGGAUUCCCCUGGCUUGACCUCUUUUUUCUAUAAUAUAUAAACUCGUCUUAAAAUUACUACAACAGAAUCCAAAAUGAAGCAAUUCUUGAUUAUUGCUGUGUUCCUUGCAACCAUUUUAAUUUUUGCAGAAUCGACACAUAUACCCGACCAAAACAAUGUAUUGAAAAGGAAUGCUCGCGCUAUUAAACCCUCCUGUGUUAAUCGUCCUUGCACUAUAAAUGCCCACUGCAGCGAUUGUUGCAUUUUCCCUCAUGUUGCGUGGUGUUUUCUCAAGAAAUGUAACUGCAUGUAGACUUUUUGAAUAAAAUUUACUAAACAUUUGUA